AGGAUCAGCAUUUCCACUCCUGGGUCUACAAGGCAGGGAAAUGAGCACUUCCAUCUACCAAAAGCCUCAUAAACGAGUAAUCGGAAAAGCACAGUCUG